rnacentral:rRNA from 1 species
GCGUGAGUGAUGAAGGCCCUAGGGUUGUAAAGCUCUUUCAACGGUGAAGAUAAUGACGGUAACCGUAGAAGAAGCCCCGGCUAACUUCGUGCCAGCAGCCGCGGUAAUACGAAGGGGGCAAGCGUUGUUCGGAAUAACUGGGCGUAAAGCGCACGUAGGCGGAUUGUUUAGUUAGAGGUGAAAUCCCAGGGCUCAACCCUGGAACUGCCUUUAAUACUGGCAGUCUAGAGACCGAGAGAGGUGAGUGGAAUUCCGAGUGUAGAGGUGAAAUUCGU